UUGAUUUCAUGCCACUGCGUGAUUUAAUGGGAUGACGCAGUUUAGCUGAAGGGUGAAGUUUUAUCAAAUGCCAAAAGUUUAAAAGAUCAUUGCCAGCAGGUUCUUGAAAUACUGCUAGUUCCGAAAUCAGUGGAGAGUGAAGAUCGAAGAUCGAGGAGGAUCUACUUCGACGGUGAAACGGGUUCGACCUUAUUUAAUCCUUAUUCGAAAGGAUUUCGUGGACUGUUCACGUGUUAAUCUCUGCGGGAAAGCAGGAGAUUGAGGACAGUGCGAUAAAGGAAAGAACCCCUUGCCGAACUCAUAUAUUCAUUGUUGCCGGAAUAUGUAACAGGAUGACAUCAGCUUUUCUGUCAAUGCAGAAGCAUCUCACCCACUUCCACGUAGCAAAUCAGUGGUCAGCACUUUACACCACUUAAUAUCUUUGAAUCCAAACCCCAGCUCCUGAAGGGAAAAAGGAAAAUAUGUGCGAAAGUCUGAGAUGCAUAUUCCCACAUAGCUGUCCAGAACACAGCAGGUAACCGUUUGAAUUUUGUUGAGAAAUCUGUCCGCGACCAAGGCAGUUCAUACUGGAUUGGAAAAUGCAACUAUGGGUGAGAUUUGGGGUAUUGCAAGUUUCUUAGAAAAGAGUGAGUCGGGGAUCGGUGCAGGCUGAGUGAAGGGAGUGGGCAAUGUGUUUAGUUUGGGGACUGACACAGACUGCGAGAGGGGAGUGGGCAGUGAGAUUAGUUUGGGGACUGACACAGACUGCGAGAGGGGAGUGGGCAGUGAGAUUAGUUUGGGGACUGACGCUGUUUGCUAGAAGGAGUGGGCAUUGAUAUUAGUUUGCGGACUGAUAAGGGCUGUAUGGAGAGCGUGUGCAAUUGGCUUUGUUUGGGGAUUGACAAAGUCUGUUGGUAGAGUGUGUGCAGUUGAAUUAAUGUGGGAACUGACAUGGGCUGUGGGAAGAGAGUGCGAAGUGGGAGUGUUUUGGUGGUUGACACUGAUCUUUAGGAAGAAGGCUAGGUAUUGGGUUUAUCGUGGGGACUCGCGCGGGGUCUUGGAGUGAAAGUGGGAUGUACACGUAUUUUGGGGACUAACACGGGACUGUGGGGAGAGACUGGAGCUGCAGAGCUCUUUUGGGAACUGACCCAGGUUGUGGGAGAGAGUGAGGCAGUGGGAACACUUUGGGGCCUAGCACAUGUCUGUGGUGAGGGAAUGACGGAGGGGUGUACAUAGGGGACACACACAGAUCUGUGGGGAGAGAAUAGUUCAGUGGGAGUACUCUGGGGACUGAGACACGUCCGUGGGGAGAGCAUGGGAAGCGGGAGGUGUUUUGGUGAUUGACACAGGUCUCUAAGAAGAGGGUUGAGCAGUGGGAUUAUUUUGGGUUCCGGCACGGGGCUGUGGGGAGAGAGUCAGGCAGUGUAGUUUGGACUGACACUGAUCUGUGUGGUGGGAGUGGUGAGUCUGAGUACUUAGGCAGAAAACACAGGCCUGUGGGGAGACAUUGAAGAUGUGGCAGCACUUUGAGGACUGAUAUGGGGCCUUGGGAGAGACUGGCGCUGUGGGAAUAUUUUGGGGACUGACAAAGGGCUGCAGGGAGAAAGUGGACCAUUGUGAAAAUUCUGGAUACUGACACAGGGCUGUGCUGGGAAAGUGGGAUUGUGGGAAAUUUUGGGGUGCCGCAGGUCGUUGGCGAGAGUGGGCGUCAGUGAUUUUGGGGACUAACACACGGCUGCCUGCUGAAGGUACGCUGAUAUUGCUUACCCCUUCUUGAUAGGAGAGUGGCCUCGAAUAUCGUGUUCCAAAUGAAGGCUGGAGUCUUCGAAUGCAUUGAAUGUGGAUGGUACCCUCACUUUGAACAUUGCAGUGAGGAUAAGCGUUGCUUCAUCUGCGAGAAGUCGGCGCUUCUGUGCUCAGAUCUUUCUGAAAAGAUCUAGGAUCUCUGUCAACAGUCAAUAGGGUCGACUUAAACAAGUGGCAAAAGCGUCUUUAUCUCACCGACUCACAUUACAUCAUCAGCUCUGCCCCUCACCCUUGCCUUAUUAUCUUUCCCUCUAUCGCAAUCUUACCCACCAUCUCGCCCACUCUUCACCUUCGUUCCUCUAAACACUCUCUCUCAUCCCUCUCCACUCCCGCCUCUUCCAUUUCAUCCGCAUUUUCUCCCUCCCGCAUCUCGCCUCCCUUUCCCCGAACUCUUCCUCUUCUAUCCCUGUCUCUCUCUCUCGAUUCUCUAUUCCCCCUCUACACACUCUCCCAAUCCCUCUCUUUCCCUUUUAUCGAACUCAACUCGCUCUCCCGCUUCUGUCUUCAGCUACUCUCACCUCAAUCAUGCGCGUCAAUGUUCUCGAUACCCCAGUCCUGUGGAAUAAGAGUGCAUGUAUUCGCCUUAUCCGUGCCCCUUGUAGUUUUGUACCGCUCUACAUGGUCACAAAAUAAAGGCUGAAAAUUUCCGACUGCACCAUAACUCAGCUCCUAAAAUCCUGGCAGAAACUUCGGAAUUCUCCCUCUGUAAUCUUUCCAGUUCGUUGAGAUUUUUCUCAGAGCAAGGCAAGCAGAACUAAACUCCAUACUCCAUGUGCGGCCCGACCGACGUCAUUUGCAACUGCAACGUGACCUCCGACUCCCGUACUCAGUGUCCUGACUGAUGAAGGCCAGCGUGUCAAAUGUCCUGUCCACCAGUAUCGCAUCUUCUCUACCGGAUUCACGGUCUGUUUUAUUAUCUGUGACGCAGACCACCUGAGAUUUGUUCUUUUGAAGGAUCAGUGGGGCCCUAAUAUGUAAAAUUACCGUCAAAUGCAAUAAGCUAAUAAAUGCCGCAAAAAAUGUGGAGGUGGUGCUCAUACGUUCAAGAAAAUGCUAGCGGAAGGGAAGAAGGUGUUUCUGGUUCAUUGAGAUUUCGGCCUCCUGUUCCUCGUCAACCCUCCUUCCCAGACGACCAUCCUUGUCACCGUCCGCCAAGACUUCCUCUGCAGCCCUCUCCGUUUCCGCCACCGCAUUCUUCUUCCACACUUCUUGACUCUAGCAACCCUCCGUUCACUGCGCUCCGUGCCGUCUUCGUCAUCUCCUCCUUCUCCAACACCUCUCCAGGUCUCCCUGAUCUGCUUGAUCCCCUGCAGGUCCACCCCGCUUCCAUUAACCGUCUUCCUCCUUUACACGUCUCCCUCUCACUGUUUAUAUAGAAGUAUGGCGAGGAAGGGGGAGAGGUGACGUCUAGUGUUACACCAACCAGCUCCCUUCAAACGGAUAUUGAUCUCUCGGUUCUGAGCCUUUGCUCUAUUCUGUGUGGACAAAACUUCAUCCCGAGUGGGGUGGUGGGCGGAUGGGGUGAGGGUAGAUGUGCGGAAGAGAUGCGUUAGACCACUUUAGACCAGAGCCAGUGCAGACACCCCUUGCGGCCAAUCCGCUCAAUAACAGGUAGACCAGUUUGGAUGCUUCUGGAUGGGAGGAGAGGGGUGCAAAUGACCAAGCAGGGGAAAGUCUCACCGGUCAGGUCUCUGACAGAGACUAUGGCUCUGUGGCUCAGAAAGGAAAGGAGUGAAAUUUGGCGAGCUUUAUCCUGAGGGUAGUCUUUGUUAGGUGAGCAGAAAAGAGGUACUGAGGACGAGAACGAGAUUUCUCAAUGGUAUGCGGUCGAUAUACUAACCAGUAUAUCGGCAGGAAAAUGGAGCCGGUUCUGCAAACUUUGAAAGAACAUUCAGUUUAAACUGUGACUGAAAUGUUAGGAUUUGGAACGAAGUCUUGAGAUAUCUGUAUCACUGGGCGCUCCUGCUCGGAAGCUGCGACCUCUGCAAACCGAGCGGUUUAUUUCAUUUCAAUUCAAUUCAUUUCAAGUUUAUUUGCAAUUCCAUCACAUAUGACCGCCAGGGCCAAGCUUCAAAACACAACACCAACUGUCACACGAUACACCAAGCUCACGUAAUAUGUAUAAAAUAGCAAGUUAGCAAGCAUAUGUAGGGUAUCAGUGAGAUAUAUUCACGCUUUAUGUACAGGCGCACACACGCACGCGCGCGCACGAGCACAUGUAUAUAUAAUCAGCUUGAGGUCCUAGACAGUGUAAAAGCCACCGAAAUCUAGAAACUACAACAACUGCUCUUGUGUUCUGCCGAAUGAACACUGGGAGACAGCACAGACUCCUGCCUGGAGAUCGCGCCACACCGCCCCUCGUUGUGCAGCUCCUUCAUUUUCUCCGCCAUCUGGCAACUCUCUCAGUUUACACCUGAACCGGAGUGGAACUAAUAUCCCAACGGGGAGGUUUGCCAUUAAGAAAGGGGUCGAUGUGUUGUUUAAGCUAGAGUUGCAGGGGGAUGAUAACCAGAAUGAUUGAACAGAAAGUUGAGUCAUUGUUGGGACAGAUGUUGUUAAGACCUCAGAUAAAGUCAGCGAGCAAAAUGUUGAACCUGCUGGAUCUCAUGUUCUGAGCUACGUCCAUUUCAAAGCAAGAAGUAUUAUACGAAGAGUAGAUGAGCUCAGGGUCGGAGCCAACGAUUGAAAGCAUGAUAGUUUAGCCAUUGGUAAGAUUUGUUUGCAGGAGGGGCAAGUCUGUUAGCUCAGCCUUCCAGUUUACCGCUGUUUUUGUCGUACUAAUGUUUAUAUAAUUUAAGCUAAGGUGGGGCUUCAGAGGUGGAACUGAGGAUUGAGAAGGGUAUGAACUCGUUCAUGGGGCAACAUUAUCGACCACCGUACAGUCGGGGGAUUUAGAGGAACAAAUCUGUGGAGAGUUCGGAGUCUGUUGUAAGAGACAUCAGGUUGUGGCAUCGGGUGAGUUUAAGAUUCUUGGUACUGACUGUGAAAGGACCACUGGGAUAGUUUUCUUAAUCAGUUAAGGAAGGAACCUUAAUCAGCAGAUAGUUAGUCCCAAUGAGAGAGUGCAAUACUUGAUCUCAUCCUAGCGAUUAGGACACGCCAGGGGUCAGAAGUGUGUGUCAGGGAACAAUUUGCAUCUAGUGUUGGUAAUGCCAUUAGAUACAGGAUAAGUAUGGAAAAGGAUAGAUGCAACCUCGAGUUAAGUUUAGUUUUGAGGUUUAUAACAAUACGGGAUGCAAGUAGACCAGAGAGCUUGUAUCUUUUACCCGUAGGAUGGAAAUGUCUAAUAUUAGAAGACCUGCAUUGAGGUAAGAGCGGGUAGGUUCAAAGGAGAUGAAUUUGGCAAGUUUUUGUCGUCACAGAGAUUGGCGGGUAAUUGGAAAGUUCUGGCAGCUCUGGUGGUGGAGGUAAAUCCAUACAGACUUUUAACUGGCUCUUCUAUAGGUACGUGGGUGUGCAAGGAAUGGAAGGAGACAGAUGUCGGGAGAACAAAUUCAGAAUUGAGAUAUCACAAUUCUUGAACCAAAGGGUCUGUUCUGUUGUGUGAUUUACCUUCUCUGCUCUGUAGAAAGAGCAGAGUGAUCUGACCUCAUCCGGUGGAAAGUGCAGGGAGUUAGUUUGUGAAAAGGAACUUGACGAUUUAUCGAUAACAAGAGGGAACGACCAAUUCACAGAAGGCAUACGGCAUGAAAAAGACGCACAGAGACACCAUCUUCAAAGGGACACUGAAAACCCCCCUACAAUGCUUUUGUAUCACAGACACAACCCUCGUCGUAAUACGAACACGCCCCUCAUAGUGACAGCCACACACUGAUAGACCCGGUACUGCAACAAGGAAACUUCCUCGCUGUGUGCAUAGGGGUGAUAGAGAUAUAUAGAGAUGUAUUUAGACCGAACGUGCAGGAUACAGGAACCUGGGUGACAGACAGUGCAGAUCCAGAGACGUGCAGAGACCCCUUGUGACCAACCCGCUCAAUAGCAGGUAGACCCUUUGGAUACUUCUGGAUGGGAGGACAGAGGUGCAAAUGCUGAAGCUGGGGAAAGUCUCAACGGUCAGGUCUCUGGCACUGACUGUGGUUCUGUGGCUCAGCAGGUAUGGGUUGAGAUGUGGCGAGCUGUAUCGAUAGAGUGUUCCUUGUUAGUGGAACAGAAAAGAGAUACUGUGGAUGAGAACGAGAUUUUUCAAUGGUAUGUGGUCCCCAAAGUACAAGGAUAUAGCUAGGAUUGGGGAGAAUGCCUUAUGAGGCAUUCCUUUUCUCCUUGCAGCGACCGAGGAAGAGAGAUGAAUAGGUCGACGUGUAUACGAUAAUGAGAGGCAUUUAUCAGUGGAUAGUGUUACGAAGGAUGAAUAACUCUGGUGGGCAGAAGGGUGCAAGGUUGUCAAUGUCCCCCUCCCCUGGGAGAAUCACAAACUGUUGCUGUUACCACGCUGCUAACGAGAGAGUAGGAGAGACAAAAGAAAACAUGCCAGGACAUCUGUUACCGAUAACAGCCUGAGAGAGAGUUAUGUUUAUCCACCAUGUUAUGACUCCCGAAAGACGUAUGGCUGCGGAGAGGGCUGUUUACUUGGUACUAUUCUGUUCAUUAAAAUUCCUCAGUGGGCAGCCGGAGUGGGCUGGUUUGAUGGGCUAAGCCAUUCAAAACUGAUUGACACCUGAGACCCCGUGAGUGGGGAUAAAAGUGAGGUCUGGGGUGUCACCCCCUCAGACGCAGCAGGAGACACACUAGUGAUCAUCAGAAACCCACGAGAAAGUGUGGGGCAUCGGGGACCGAACGGAUCGGUCAAUUUCACUCACAGCGGUUAUAGCAAGGCCGGUGGGGGCUUGUGUGUGUGUCCACCUUUGCCGGAGUGACGAGUCCACCACGGAAGAACGGUCUAGCUAAAGAACAGAGGGGUCAUACCUCAAUGGCCACAACGAAACGACGGAUCCAGAAAGUAAAGGAAGGUUUGGAAGACAAUAGCUGUCACUGUUUGAUCGUCCUCUCUCUCUCUCUCGCUCUCUCUCUCUCUCCAACAACUACAACACAUCGACCAGCAACUACCUGAGCCUGCAUGAAUUGAACUGAACUUUAUACUUUCUCAUGAUAAUUCAUUAUCCCCUAGACAACGAUAGAGCUUGUUUAUCAUUGAUUGUUAUUUUAGGUUUAGUAUUGCUAACGUGUAUUAUCUGUAUAUUUGCCUUGAUAUUGACUUGUAUAUUUUACUAAUAAACACUGCUGAAAAUAGUA